GCCCUGUGGUUUCUGUGGACUGGGAUGACUGUACAGUUCUGCAGUUGUUAUUGUUGGGCAAAUAGUAACACUGUGAUUUUUGCAUGGAGCCUGUACUGGUUAAUCGACAGUCUCUGUAGCCCGGUCACAGAGACAUUC